AAGACACAGAGACACAAGGAAAAUGUCAUCUGAUGAUGAAAGCAGAGAUUGGAGUGUGUAGCUACAAGCCAAGGAGUGCUGAAGAUUGCCAGCAGACUGCCAGAAGGUAGAAGAGACAAUAUGACUGCAGGGAGAGGGUAGGCCUCUGUUAUCCUUACAGAGAUACCCCUCACAGGAAGCUUGAUAUGUUUCUUGAGAAUGAGGGCCUUGUUUUAUACGUCCAAGGAAUGUCUACAGAAAUAUUUGUCAAUUGAUUGAUUAUGUCUACACGGCCCAUCAAAUCAAAUCUACCCAAGUGCCCUUUCCCAACCAACUGGAAGCCAGUGGAAGAGGAAGCCAGUUGAUGCAGUCUAUACAUUGGCCUCCUGGAGCAGAGCAGAAAGGAGGAGGGUACAGUGGACCUGGAUGGGCAAACAAGAGGUAUCCUGUGAGUCUUCAAGGAGAUGAGUAUCCAACAGAAAUAAAAACAGGUGCUUAUAAUACAAUAUGGAAUGUGAUGGAGUAGCUAUAUAGCGUUCAGUGAUGUG